rnacentral:tRNA from 1 species
GGGCUCGUGGUCUAGGGGUCAUGACGUCGCCUUGACGAGGCGAAGGUCGCCCGUUCGAAUCGGGCCGAGCCCA